GGGGGAAUGUGAUGAAACAUAAAGCCUUCCCUUUGCAGGCAAAACCAGAACUUGUUUUCAAGACGCCAGAAGCUGACAAUACUUUGAAUUUGCAAGAUGUUCAAGGUCUUGUUACUUGGGUUCUUGCCGAUGGAUUCAUGCCUUCCUGGGUUUUUAUUAAGCUUUGUACUUGGCACAAUCCAUGAAACUUUCUGGUUUGAAAAAAAGUUGUGGCAAUCCUCGGCCGCUUUUAGCUUUUAGGUUUGUAAUGACCUUGUUUAUGCAUUUCUUGUCUAUCAGAAAUAUGCUCGGUGUGAA